rnacentral:rRNA from 1 species
GAUGAACGCUGGCGGCGUGCCUAAUACAUGCAAGUCGAGCGAAUGGAUUAAGAGCUUGCUCUUAUGAAGUUAGCGGCGGACGGGUGAGUAACACGUGGGUAACCUGCCCAUAAGACUGGGAUAACUCCGGGAAACCGGAGCUAAUACCGGAUAACAUUUUGAACCGCAUGGUUCGAAAUUGAAAGGCGGCUUCGGCUGUCACUUAUGGAUGGACCCGCGUCGCCUUAGCUAGUUGGUGGGGUAACGGCGCACCAAGGCAACGAUGCGUAGCCGACCGGGGAGGGUGAUCGGCCACACUGGGACUGAGACACUGCCCAGACUCCUACGGGAGGCAGCAGUAGGGAAUCUUCCGCAAUGGACGAAAGUCUGACGGAGCAACGCCGCGUGAGUGAUGAAGGCUUUCGGGUCGUAAAACUCUGUUGUUAGGGAAGAACAAGUGCUAGUUGAAUAAGCUGGCACCUUGACGGUACCUAACCAGAAAGCCACGGCUAACUACGUGCCAGCCGCCGCGGUAA